rnacentral:tRNA from 1 species
GGUGCUUUCGUCUAUCCGGCAGGACAUCGGCCCUUCAAGCCGAAAAGACGGGUUCAAAUCCCGUAAGCAUCACCA